rnacentral:lncRNA from 1 species
UGUAGGAGGUAUAAGAACAUAAAAUGAAAUGAAAACAAAACUUAAUUAAAAACCAUCCAUAUAGGAGGUAAUCAAAACAUAUUUAUAUUAUACAUAAGGAGAAAUAUCUUACAAUGGACAAGGGUAGGAAAGCUUGAAAGCUUGAAGGGCUUACAUGAUGAGAGAGAAAGAAGAGAGAAGGGAGAGCAUAAGCUUGGGAGAG